UACAGGCAGUUUUGAACCACUUGAUAUGGGUGAGGGGAACUGUAGUCUGGUCCUUUACAAAUGUACUAUGUUUUCUUAACUUGUGACCCUUCUGUCUAGACUGAGGUUUUAGGCCUCAGUCUCAACAAUUCUCCACUGUGAAUGGAGGCACCAACACUCCAGCUUUAUACAAUAGUGUUGUGUCUGGUUAGUGUAUUUUCCAAGACAUGUGUCCCUUUUUCGGUUGGCUAUGUCCAAAUAUCAGACCUAAGGAUUUUUCUUGAGGUUGGAGUCUUCUCUGAAGUAAGAGAUACUGGCUUUGUUUAUAAGACAUUAUGGAAGACAAUCUGUUGUCCUUUUCUCAUGGGAUGAUCCACUGGCAUCUUAGCAAAUAACAUCUUAUAUUGUGAUACUAGUCAUACACUGCUCCCAUCUUACGUGUGACAACCCACAGUAACUGUCUUACAUGAUGGAAAGAUCUCAAGAGUUAGAACCAGACACACCUAGGCUUGGUUAUAUCUGUGUUGCUGUUUAGUGACAUGAUUUGGGGUCUAUAAUCUAAUAUUUCUAAAUAACUAAUUUCUCCAUACAUAAAGUAUUUCUUAGGACUGUUUCGAGGAUGAAAGUGACAAAGGCUAGGCAAAUGUAGUUAUGAUCAUAUGUUUAUUGGGAGGGACUCACUGAUGUAGAAUGGGGGAUUGAGUAUGAACCUUUCAUUCCAACAGAUAUGGCCAACCCAUAUGCACAGUGUGAGAACCCUGAGUGGUUGUCAGAGACAACCAAGAGCAUUAAUCCUGCUAGUGUGUGCUUCUUAAGGAAGAGCUUCCUCUAUAGUUAGGACACCAGUGACAUUGGUGGUCUCUAUUUUCCUUACAAGGGAAGAAAGUCUGGGUCUCACGGUUUGGUUUCAUUAUGCUGGGGUUGCUGGGAUUAGAAAGUUUUGUCGAGCUUUCCUUUUUCUGGGCAAGACUGCAUUUUGACAUUUUGGAUUGUAAUGACAGAUCAUCUUAGGACACUCAGAGAUGGAAACCAUCAGUUUAUCUGUGGAGAGGGAAUAACAGGAAUGGAUUCCCUAGGGCAGGAUGAAAUUCCCUUUUGUUGUUGUUUUGAGACAGUUUCUCUGUGUAGCCCUGACUGUCCUGGAAUGCACUCUGUAGGCCAGGCUGACCUCAAACUCACAGAAACAGCUCUGCCUCUACCUCCUGAGUGCUGGGAUUAAAAGUGUGGGCCACCACAUCCAACUUCAGGAGAAAACUUGAUCUCAGACAUUGUUACUUUGGCAUCAUGGAAGCCGUUACAUUUGUAUCAUGUUGUAUCUUUUAGCUAUGCUGAGUUCACUUUAUGCUGUGACAAUGAAUCUUCAUUUUCAAUUUGGCUGGAAUCACCCAGAAGACAAACUUCUGAGUACAUCUUUGAGGGCACUUUCAGAAGUAAGAAGAGAAGUUCAUCACUGAACAUGGGUGGCACCAUCCCAGGGACUGGAGUCCCAGACUGAAUAAAAAGGGAAAAGGAGACAAGCUGAGUAUCAGCAGUCACCCCUCUCCUUCCUGACAGCAGCAUAGUGUAAUUAACAGCUUCAUAAUCCUGCCAUCACAGCUGCCCACCAAGAUGGCGUGUACCCUCAAACCAUGAGCCAUGACAAGUCUGUCUUUCUACUUUCCUUUCCUUUCCUUUCCUUUCCUUUCCUUUCCUUUCCUUCCUUUGACAUGCAACAAUUUCUUUUAUUAGACACAUGAUUGUAAAUGAUCUCCUCAAUUUCUUCAUACACAAGCAAAACUAUGUGUGACGUUUAAUAUACCAGAGCUUGCCAAUCCAACCC
rnacentral:lncRNA from 1 species